AUAAGAAGGCAGCAGAGCUGAGGUACUUUGUCUAUUCAACUGCCCAUGUUGAGGGACCUCACCUGGGAUUCUCCUCAGACCGUCAUGGGUUUCUACUUCGAGAUUGACUCUGGUCUGUAUCCUGACUGCUGAACUCCCAUAUUGGCGUACUUGGACUUACCCUGGAUUGCAUUUCCUGAUCUUUGAACUUGGCUUGUAUGGAUUGGCUUUUGGACUUGGAACUUUGCCUUGGCACGCUGUCUGCCAGGUAGGCCAGGGGAUCAGGACACUUGAAAAGAUAAAAUACAACAAAUAAAGCCAAUUUAAAAACCGGGGGGGGGGGGGGUUAAAACUAUGAACAAUACAAUUACAUAAAAAGCAUGUUUAGUAAAAUAUGAAUAAGGACAUGUCCUAUCCACUCUGCUAAAAGAUGAGCACAGCCAUAGGAGACAAUAGUAAUAAUUUUAUUUACCGGUAUAUGGUGCCCAUCUGACUGGGUUGCUGCAACCACUCUUGGCUGCCUUCAGAUGUCUUUAUUGCCAAAGGUCUUGGUAAACAAAGAAGCCUUCACCUGGUGCCUAAAGACCGACAAGAAUGGCACCAGGCAUGUCUCCCACCACACCAUAAAGACCUGUUCUCAUGGUGUGGACCUGUCUUGGUCUGCACCUGUCUUGGGUUGGGCUCCUGGAGAAGGGCCUCUGAUGAAGACCACAAGGUCUGGGCUGGUUCAUAUAGGGAGAAAUAACCUCCAUGUUCAAUUGUGUGGUCAUUUCAGUGCUAAGCCUGAACCCCUGCCAACGUACCAACUACCCAAAGCUUCUCCACAUGUCGCCAUGCAGUGUGUGAGGCUCAAAACUAAGCUAUGUCCCUUAGGGACACUUAUGUGGAAGGAAAUCCAACUGAACAGAGUAAUAAUAAUAAUAAUAAUAAUUUUUAUUUAUACCCCGCCCUCCCCAGCCAAGGCUGGGCUCAGAGCAGCUUACAAGCAAUAAUAAAAACAAGUUAAAUGAUUACAACUUAAAAACAACAUUAAAAUACAACAUUAAAAUAUUGAAACAUUAAAAUAUUAAAAUGUAGCCUCAUCGCAGAAGGAGAAGGAAAAGAAAAAAGAAAGAGAGGGAGGGAAUCAAAUUGGCUCCAAGCCAAAGGCCAGGUGGAACAACUCUGUCUUACAGGCCCUGCGGAAAGAAAUCAGAUCCUGCAGGGCCCUGGUCUCAUGAGGCAGAGCGUUCCACCAGGCUGGAGCCAGAGUUGAAAAGGCCCUGGCUCUGGUUGAAGCCAAUCUAACUUCCUUAGGGCCCGGGACCACUAGGGGGUUGUUAUUUAUGGACCUUGAGGCUCUCCGUGGGGCAUACCAGGAGAGGCGGUCCCGCAGGUACGAGGGUCCUAGGCCGUGAAGGGCUUUAAAGGUCAAAAGCAGCACCUUAAAUCUGAUCCUGUACUCCACCGGGAGCCAGUGCAGCUGGAAAAGCACUGGGUGAAUAUGCUCCCAUGGCAGAGACCCCGUGAGGAGCCUCGCUGCAGCAUUCUGCACCCGCUGGAGUUUCUGGGACAGCUUCAAGGGCAGCCUGCGUAGAGCGAAUUACAGUAGUCAAGCCUGGAGAUGACCGUCGCAUGGAUCACUGUGGCCAGGUCGGGCGGGAAAGGUAAGGGACCAACUGCUUGAUGCGGCGAAGGUGGAAAAAUGUCGCCUUGGCUGUUGCUGUAACUUGCGCCUCCAUGGAAAGGGAGGCGUCAAGGAUUACACCCAAACUCUUAACGGAAGGCAAUGGCACUAAUUGGGCCCCGCAAGAGAAGGGAGUUGGUCCCUCAUCCCCAUGCCAUCCCGACCCAGCCAUAGGACCUCUGUCUUCGAAGGAUUUAGUUUCAAUCGGCUCCCACGAAACCAUCCAGCCACAGCUUCCAAGCAUCUGGUCAGUGUGUUCGGGGCCGAGUCGGUGUGGCCAUCCAUCAGCAGAUAGAGCUGAGUGUCAUCAGCAUAUUGGUGACAGCCCAGCCCAAAGCUCCGGAUAAUCUGGGCAAGGGGGCGCAUAAAGAUGUUAAAAAGCAUUGGGGAGAGGAUUGCGCCCUGCGGCACUCCACACACCAAGGAGUGGCGCGACGACAUUUCCCUCCCUAGCUCCACCCUCUGUCCCCGACCAGAGAUAAAAGAGCACAGCCAGUUACGGGCUAUGCGCUGUAUCCCCACGUCUGCGAGGCAGUGGUCCAGAAGAUCAUGAUCAACCAUGUCAAAGGCUGCUGACAAAUCUAAAAGGAUCACCAGUCCUGACCCGCCUCGAUCCAGCUGUCUACGGAGAUCGUCUGUUAGGGCAACCAGAGCCGUCUCGGUCCCAAAACCAGGACGGAAACCGGACUGAAAUGGAUCUAAAGCCGAUGUACAAGAUGCUCUCCAUGUCACACAUGAGGGGCAGGACUUGGGAAGUCAACACACCUCCUCUGGCUCUUAGAACAAUUUCACUGCCCCUUAGCUGGUCCUGAUGAGAUGCUUCUCUCUGUUACUUGUCUCCUUCUACUUCCACAGCGUUCCUGUUUCAUCAAUUUGGGCUUCACUUAGCCCCUCCAAAGGCCUCAGCUAGCAGGAGAGAGACACAUCUUUAUAUGUGGUUCAUUUGGAACAGGCCACUAAACAUUUGUCACUGCCUAUCAUCCUGACAUAUUGAAUCUAAGGCACCAGGAACUAUAUACAUAUACAUAAACACACACACAUCUUCCUCAGAGCAGCUCCUUGUGAAAGUCAAACUCAUGCCAGAUAGUGACAGGAUAGCUGCCUUAUUUUAAUUUAUUUGCUGUUGCUUAAUUUACUUGGCUUGCAUGCACAGCCAGGAAAGCGCCAUUUGUUUCGGCGAGGUGAGGAAAAGUUCCGUGCGACCCAAAUGAGCUGCUGAAAACGGAACACAAUCUUUCUUGCGCAGACAGUAUCAUCAUAAUACAUUAUUAGCCAUUGUGAUCUUCUAUCAUUCCACUCUGGGAGAAUUAUGGCUGUGGCACUGAGGAUGUAAGGCUACAGGCUGAGCACUGCUUGCUACAAAUCUCUCGCAAAGCUCUUGCAAUAAAUCUCCAAGAGAAAAGUCAUUUAAAGAAAGGAAUGGGGGGGGAUGACACUAAGGGGAGCUGUCAUUUGUUUUCUUAGGGAAGAGGGGACAAGCAGCUGUGAAGGGACACGACGUACUCUUAACGUCGCAAAAGGUGGCAGCAUUCAUCACGGCAAAAGCAACAUUCUCGGUGGAGGGCAAGCAUGGAGGGGAAGCAAUAUCCAGCCCCCUUGCCCACAGACCUGUGAAAUAAAUGGCUCUUCUUGAUGAAAUCAUUUCUCUUCCUUUUAUUAGCUACACAGGAGACCACAAGUGAUUUGGCCAUUUCCGACGCUGAGAACCUGUGUGCGCACACCUUGAUGGAAUUCACCCCGCAAAGAAUCAUCCGCCGUCCCCUCGUUGGUGUGCCUGCUCACCAAAACGAUAGCAGUGGCUUUUGUGGGGUUAAAACAGAAUUACGUUGUUAGAAGAAGAAGAAGAAGAAGAAGAGGAAGAAGAAGAAGAAGAAGAGUUUGGAUUUGAUAUCCCGCUAUAUCACUACCCUAAGGAGUAUCAAAGCAGCUAACAUUCUCCUUUCCCUUCCUCCCUCACAACAAACACUCUGUGAGGUGAGUGAGGCUGAGAGACUUCAAAGAAGUGUGACUAGCCCAAGGUCACCCAGCAGCUGCAUGUGGAGGAGCGGGGAAGCGAACCUGGUUCACCAGAUUACGAGUCUAGCGCUCUUAACCACUACACCACACUGUCUCUCAUAGGUUUGGAAGCCUAUAAGAGAUUCCUCAACAAAAAGGUAAGUAAUUAUACUCGAGCCACAUCCUACACAAAGCUGUCAGAUCAGUAUUAUUUACCUGAACUUAAGAAGAGCUCUGCUGAAUCAGUCCAAAGGCCUGCUUUCCAUUCUCACUGUGAGCAACCACAUUCCUAUGGGAAGUCCACAGGUACAAUAACCUGCUCCCAAUUCUGCCAGCUGGAAUUGAGGCAGACUGCCUCGGAUGCUGAAGGUCAGAGGGAGCCUUCUGAAGUCCUACCCUCCCAUUUUAUUUAUUUUCAUUUACUUAUGGUAUUCCAUAAGUGAUGGUAUUCCAGCUGAACUAUUUAAAAUUUUAAAAGAUGAUGCUGUUAAAGUGCUACACUCAAUAUGCCAGCAAAUUUGGAAAACUCAGCAGUGGCCAGAGGAUUGGAGAAGAUCAGUCUACAUCCCAAUCCCAAAGAAGGGAAGUGCCAAAGAAUGCUCCAACUACCGCACAAUUGCACUCAUUUCACAUGCUAGCAAGGUUAUGCUUAAAAUUCUACAAGGCAGGCUUAAGCAGUAUGUGGACCGAGAACUCCCAGAAGUGCAAGCUGGAUUUCGAAGGGGCAGAGGAACCAGAGACCAAAUUGCAAACAUGCGCUGGAUUAUGGAGAAAGCUAGAGAGUUCCAGAAAGACUUCUGCUUCAUUGAUUAUGCAAAAGCCUUUGACUGUGUCGACCACAGCAAACUAUGGCAAGUUCUUAAAGAAAUGGGAGUGCCUGAUCACCUCACCUGUCUCCUGAGAAAUCUCUAUGUGGGACAAGAAGCUACAGUUAGAACUGGAUAUGGAACAACUGAUUGGUUCAAAAUUGGGAAAGGAGUACGGCAAGGCUGUAUAUUGUCACCCUGCUUAUUUAACUUAUAUGCAGAAUUCAUCAUGCGAAAGGCUGGGCUGGAUGAAUCCCAAGCCGGAAUUAAGAUCGCCGGAAGAAAUGUCAACAACCUCAGAUAUGCAGAUGACACAACCUUGAUGGCAAAAAGCGAGGAGGAAUUAAAGAACCUUUUAAUGAGGGUGAAAGAGGAGAGCGCAAAAUAUGGUCUGAAGCUCAACAUCAAAAAAACGAAGAUCAUGGCCACUGGGCCCAUCACCUACUGGCAAAUAGAAGGGGAAGAAAUGGAGGCAGUGAGAGAUUUUACUUUCUUGGGCUCCAUGAUCACUGCAGAUGGUGACAGCAGUCACGACAUUAAAAGACGCCUGCUCCUUGGGAGAAAGGCGAUGGCAAACCUAGACAACAUCUUAAAAAGCAGAGACAUCACCUUGCCAACAAAGGUCCGUAUAGUAAAAGCCAUGGUUUUCCCAGUAGUGAUGUAUGGAAGUGAGAGCUGGACCAUAAAGAAGGCUGAUCGCCGAAGAAUUGAUGCUUUUGAACUGUGGUGCUGGAGGAGACUCUUGAGAGUCCCAUGGACUGCAAGAAGAUCAAACGUAUCCAUUCUGAAGGAAAUCAGCCCUGAGCACUCACUGGAAGGACAGAUCCUGAAGCUGAGGCUCCAAUACUUUGGCCACCUCAUGAGAAGAGAAGACUCUCUGGAAAAGACCCUGAUGUUGGGAAAGAUGGAGGGCACAAGGAGAAGGGGACGACAGAGGACGAGAUGAUUGGACAGUGUUCUCGAAGCUACCAGCAUGAGUUUGACCAAACUGCGGGAGGCAGUGGAAGACAGGAGUGCCUGGUGUGCUCUGGUCCAGGGGGUCAUGAAGAGUCGGACACGACUAAACGACUAAACAACAACAAUUAAAUUUGUAGACCACCCUUCAUCCUAAGAUCUCAGGGUGGUUCACAGCAUAAAAAUGCAAGAUAAAAACACAAAAUGCACAACAGAAACAGAAACAGUAACACCCACCACCACAAACACAUUUAAAAUGGCAUAGGAUGUUAAUCAGCCCAAGGCCUGGUUGAAGAGGAAUGUUUUUGCCUGGUACCUAAAGGUGUAUAACGAAGGCGCCAGGUGAGCCUCCCUGGGGAGAUUAUUCAUCAUCAACAAUUUUUUUAUUUAUAUGCUGUCCAUCUGACCUGGAAAUGUAGGGGACAGAACAAUUAGGAACUGGGAGAAACUGAAAUUCUCAUAUUCUCUCAUCCCUGUAGACAUAUGAUUCUAGGUCUUCAUUAUCACCCAUUAGCUAGGCUCCUGUUACUCUCAGGUGCUAGGACAAAGUGGAUAAAGAGUGCUACCUAUGAAGUAGACAUGAAUGCCCUUCAACAGGCUGAAGCCCACAUAACUGAUAAGCUGCUCAGCAGGAACACCUAAUCCCAAAGCCAGUAAUUCUUAAACAGUGUGUUGGGAUGUCCGAGUACGCCGUCCGAUAACUGUUAGAGUGUCUCAGGAAUUAAAGGCCACAGGUGAAAGGUGCAACUUUCUCAUUGCAUGUCAGCAUGCUUCAUUACCCUGGAAGGAGAAGCCCCAUCAGGAAGAAAACAUCUGGAGAGAGAGAGAGAGAGAGUAUUGGGGAGGCAGCAUGGGUGAAGUUUGGCACCCUCUCGAUCCAGCCCGUAUUGUGCUGGUGCCAUUUAGCUCCUUUAUCCCCCGCCCCAUGGAAAUGUGCAGUGAGAUGAUUCUGACCCACAGGUCUAUCACCUGUCACAUCUGCUUUGCCCCUUAUAAGCACAAGAUAAAUUGUUCAUGAAAGCCCAGAGCUUUCCUGUAUCCCUUCCCCCCUCUGCCUCAAGGAGCGUAAGUCCUGAUCAUUUUGUGAACAUCCCCUCCCUGCUGCCCUGCUCUAUCAAUUCUUGCUUGUAUUAGAUAUCAGUUCAAUGGAUGUGAGUAAACACAGUUGCCUGCUUGAUGCUCGCAUGGUCCGCUCAGCCUCGGUUGGUGCUGUGGUCUAAACCGCUAAGCCUCUUGGGCUUGCUGAUUGGAAGGUCAGCGGUUCGAAUCCGCACGACAGGGUGAGCUCCAGUUGCUCUGUAUCAGCUCUUGCCAACCUAGCAGUUUGAAAGCACACCAGUGCAAGUAGAUAAAUAGGUACCGCUGCAGUGAGAAGGUAAGCGACGUUUCUGUGCGCUCUGGUUUCCGUCAUGGUGCCCCACAUUGAACCAGAAGCGGUUUAGUCCUGCUGGCCACAUGACCCGGAAAGCUGUCUGUAGACAAACGCUGUCUUCCUUGGCCUGAAGUAAGAUGAGUACUGCAACCCCAUAGUCGUCUUUGACUGAACCUAACUGUACAGGGGUCCUUUACCUUUUUACCUUGCCCCGCAACGGAGUGAGCUCCCGUUGCCUCAUCCCAGCUCCUGCCCACCUAGCAGUUCGAAAGCACGUCAAAGUGCAAGUAGAUAAAUACGUACUGCUCUGGCGGGAAGGUAAACGGCGUUUCCAUGUGCUGCUCUGGUUCGCCAGAAGCGGCUUAGUCAUGCUGGCCACAUGACCCGGAAGCUGGACACCGGCUCUCUCGGCCAGUAAAGUGAGAUGAAUGCCGCAACCCCAGAGUCGGUCACGACUGGACCUAAUGGUCAGGGGUCCCUUUACCUUUACACAUGACUGUAGCCACAAUCCAUCGCAUCCUGUCACUUCUUGAGAAGUACUGCUGAUAAAUUUCCCCUCAAACCGCUUCCAUCCGAUUUGAAUACAUCAGCUGCAGUUAAGCCAGUGUUUCCCAAACUCGGGUCCCCUGCUGUAGUCUAACAACUCCCAUCAUCUCUAGCUAGCAGGACCAGUGGUCAGGGAUGAUGGGAGUUGUAGUCCAACAGCAGCUGGGAAUCAUCUAGUCCAGUGUUGGCCAAACUUGGGUCUCCAGCUGUUUUUGGACUACAACUCCCAUCAUCCCUAGCUAACAGGGAUGAUGGGAAUUGUAGUCCCAAAAAAGCUGGAGACCCAAGUUUGGCCAACACUGAUCUAGUCCAAUGCAGGAAUCUUUCACCUGAUGUGGGGCUCAAACCCACGACUCUGAGAUUUAAGAGUCUCAUGCUCUACUGAGUGCCCAGAUGAGAAGUAGAGCUGAAGGUCUUGCGGUUGGGCUGGGGACAACAAAUCAAGUUAUUCAUACUGGGUGACGACACCCUUGUCCUCUCUCCGCUGUGUACAGCAAAGUAAUAAUGCGAGUUGAAAUGUAGCAGGUGGGGGGGGGAGAGAAUGACCUCACUGUGUUUCAAGUCACUAAUGUGUACAUAGCCUCCACCCCCAAAUAGUAGAGAGAGAGAGAGAGAGAGAGAAAUAUAUGUGUGUAAAAAACAAGAGGUUAUGUGCUUGUCACUUGAAAGGGGGCACUGAAGAACCAUUGCCCAAGCAGGAGGCUCUGAUUCCUGGAAGAUUAUCUCACUUGCUCCCUAGCCCCCUGGUCUUGACAAUUUAUUAAAGUGCCAGUGAAGUCAUCCUAGCUGAGCACUAGAUGAAAAGGACAUCAUCUGCAGCCAAUGGCAAUUUAUGCCUGCCUCUCUUUUGGCUCCCACACCGGUGCUGUGAACGUAUUUAGUAUUGUCUUGUGCGCAUUUCGAAGACUCCCAUGGGGGGAACGAGCGCUAAGGUGGAGAGGCCACAGCUGUGCCUGCCGUUAAAGGGAGACGGAGACUAUUGUGCCACUUGGAGAUCUUUCUUGAAACCAAAAAUGCUGAGGUUAAAAUGAUUUGUUUCUGCAAUCAUGCCUUUGGCAGAAUUCCAAGCGGAGAGUGGCUGGGAGCGUGAAGCCGUUCCUUUCAUUCGGCUAAGAGCUUCUGUGGAUUGAUGGUCUGCGGAGCAGCGUUGACGUAGGAGACCAUUUAAACAUAAAUAAGGAGUUUUUGGGGGGCUUUUUGUGUGUGCAGUGAUAUCUAGUGCACCGAUAUCAAAUGGGCCGGUGGCUUAAAAAGAUUAUAACAGGGCACAGCCCAGACGUCGUGGAGAGAUGCAGAAAGGGUGUGUGAGAAAGAGAGUUGUAGAAACCGUUAUGAAGAGUUUGGAUUUGAUACCCCGCUUUAUCACUACCCGAAGGAGUCUCAAAGCAGCUAACAUUCUCCUUUCCCUUCCUCCUCCACAACAAAGUCUCUGUGAGGCGAGUGAGGCUGUGAUACUUCAUAGAAGUGUGACUAGCACAAGGUCACCCAGCAGCUGCAUGUGGAGGAGUGGAGACGCGAACCCGGAGUGGAUUACGAGUCCACCGCUCUUAACCACUACACCACACUGGCUCCUUAAGUUUUGUUGGGUUGGAAUGUACUUUAAUAUAUAAGCAGGGGAGCCAACCCUCUAGAUCAGGGUUUCCCAAACUUGGGUCUCCAGUGGUUUUUGGACUACAACUCCCAUCAUCCUUGGCUAGCAGGACCAGUGGUAAGGAAUGAUAGGUACUCUAGUCCAAAAACAGCUGGAGACCCAAGUUUGGGAAACCCUGAUCUAGAUGUUGGACUCCAAGUAUUUACGGGACCGCCUCUCCUGGUAUGCCCCGCAGAGGACCUUAAGAUCUAUUAAUAACCAUAGUUUAGAGGUCCCAGGCCCUAAGGAAGUCAGACCUUCUCAGUGAUGGCUCCGACCUGGUGGAAUGCUCUGUCCCAUGAGACUAGGGCCCUUCAGGAUUUAACCUCCUUCUGUCAGGCCUGUAAGACAGAGCUAUUCCGCCUGGCCUUUAGUUUGAAUUCAGCCUGAUCUUUUAUUUCCCUUCUCUUCCCUCCCCUCCCCCUUUAUGAAGAUUACCCACUCUGGGACCCCGCAGCUAAUUCUCCC
rnacentral:lncRNA from 1 species